rnacentral:rRNA from 1 species
AGUGAACGCUGGCGGUAGGCCUAACACAUGCAAGUCGAACGGCAGCACAGAGGAGCUUGCUCCUUGGGUGGCGAGUGGCGGACGGGUGAGGAAUACAUCGGAAUCUACUCUGUCGUGGGGGAUAACGUAGGGAAACUUACGCUAAUAACGCAUACGACCUACGGGUGAAAGCAGGGGACCUCCGGGCCUUGCGCGAUUGAAUGAGCCGAUGUCGGAUUAGCUAGUUGGCGGGGUAAGGCCCACCAAGGCGACGAUCCGUAGCUGGUCUGAGAGGAUGAUCAGCCACACUGGAACUGAGACACGGUCCAGACUCCUACGGGAGGCAGCAGUGGGGAAUAUUGGACAAUGGGCGCAAGCCUGAUCCAGCCAUACCGCGUGGGUGAAGAAGGCCUUCGGGUUGUAAAGCCCUUUUGUUGGGAAAGAAAUCCAGCUGGCUAAUACCCGGUUGGGAUGACGGUACCCAAAGAAUAAGCACCGGCUAACUUCGUGCCAGCCGCCGCGGUAA